UCCUACGGGGGGCAGCAGUGGGGAAUAUUGGACAAUGGGCGAAAGCCUGAUCCAGCAAUACCGCGUGUGUGAAGAAGGCCUUCGGGUUGUAAAGCACUUUCAAUUGGGAGGAAAAACUGUUGGCUAAUACCCGACAGCUUGACAUUACCUUUAGAAGAAGCACCGGCUAACUCCGUGCCAGCAGCCGCGGUAAUACGGAGGGUGCAAGCGUUAAUCGGAAUUACUGGGCGUAAAGCGUGCGUAGGCGGUUCGUUAAGUCAGAUGUGAAAGCCCCGGGCUUAACCUGGGAACGGCAUUUGAAACUGGCGGACUUGAGUUGAGUAGAGGGGAGUGGAAUUUCAGGUGUAGCGGUGAAAUGCGUAGAUAUCUGAAGGAACACCAGUGGCGAAGGCGACUCCCUGGACUCAAACUGACGCUGAGGUACGAAAGCGUGGGUAGCAAACAGGAUUAGAUACCCCAGUAGUCCC
rnacentral:rRNA from 1 species